UCUGGCUCAGGACGAACGCUGGCGGCGUGCUAAUACAUGCAAGUCGAGCGGACAGAUGGGAGCUUGCUCCCUGAUGUUAGCGGCGGACGGGUGAGUAACACGUGGGUAACCUGCCUGUAAGACUGGGAUAACUCCGGGAAACCGGGGCUAAUACCGGAUGCUUGAUUGAACCGCAUGGUUCAAUUAUAAAAGGUGGCUUUUAGCUACCACUUACAGAUGGACCCGCGGCGCAUUAGCUAGUUGGUGAGGUAACGGCUCACCAAGGCAACGAUGCGUAGCCGACCUGAGAGGGUGAUCGGCCACACUGGGACUGAGACACGGCCCAGACUCCUACGGGAGGCAGCAGUAGGGAAUCUUCCGCAAUGGACGAAAGUCUGACGGAGCAACGCCGCGUGAGUGAUGAAGGUUUUCGGAUCGUAAAACUCUGUUGUUAGGGAAGAACAAGUACCGUUCGAAUAGGGCGGUACCUUGACGGUACCUAACCAGAAAGCCACGGCUAACUACGUGCCAGCAGCCGCGGUAAUACGUAGGUGGCAAGCGUUGUCCGGAAUUAUUGGGCGUAAAGCGCGCGCAGGCGGUUUCUUAAGUCUGAUGUGAAAGCCCCCGGCUCAACCGGGGAGGGUCAUUGGAAACUGGGGAACUUGAGUGCAGAAGAGGAGAGUGGAAUUCCACGUGUAGCGGUGAAAUGCGUAGAGAUGUGGAGGAACACCAGUGGCGAAGGCGACUCUCUGGUCUGUAACUGACGCUGAGGCGCGAAAGCGUGGGGAGCGAACAGGAUUAGAUACCCUGGUAGUCCACG
rnacentral:rRNA from 1 species